GAAAGAUGAAAAGAACUUUGAAAAGAGAGUUAAACAGUACGUGAAAUUGUUGAAAGGGAAACGAUUAAAGUCAGUCGUACCUACGAGUGAUCAACCUACUCGAGUGCGAUUUUGUGGGUAUGUUAGAGCUUAAAAACCUUCAUGCUUACAAAUUGGUGCUCUUUGGGCGUACUUUCUCGUAUGGUAGGUUAACAUCAAUUUUGGUGGUCAUAAAAUGACUGGAGGAAUGUAGCUUCGAUCUCGUAUUGAAGUGUUAUA
rnacentral:rRNA from 1 species